rnacentral:rRNA from 1 species
GACGAACGCUGGCGGCGUGCUUAACACAUGCAAGUCGAACGAUGAAGCCGGAGCUUGCUCUGGUGAAUUAGUGGCGAACGGGUGAGUAACACGUGAGUAACCUGCCUUGACUCUGGGAUAACUGCGGGAAACUGUAGCUAAUACCGGAUACGACCCUCGGAGGCAUCUCCUGGGGGUGGAAAGAAUUUCGGUCAAGGAUGGACUCGCGGCCUAUCAGCUAGUUGGUGAGGUAACGGCUCACCAAGGCGACGACGGGUAGCCGGCCUGAGAGGGUGACCGGCCACACUGGGACUGAGACACGGCCCAGACUCCUACGGGAGGCAGCAGUGGGGAAUAUUGCACAAUGGGCGCAAGCCUGAUGCAGCAACGCCGCGUGAGGGAUGACGGCCUUCGGGUUGUAAACCUCUUUUAGCAGGGAAGAAGCGACAGUGACGGUACCUGCAGAAAAAGCACCGGCUAACUACGUGCCAGCCGCCGCCGUAA